GCCGCUGGAGGCCGUGGGUCCUGGGAGCUCAAGUGCAGCCCCGUGGUGAAAUUCAUCUAGCAAGCACUACUGUGAGGUUCUAUCUGGCAAAGGGACACGUGGAGAUGGGGACCAAGAGGAGGAGGCAUCCUGGACGUCACCAGGUGCCCCAUCCACGGCGAGGGAAGCCUGGACCCGGCUCUGCUGUCACUCAGAACAGGUCGGGGACUCCGGUGACCACGUCCCUGCCCGCUGCAUGCUUGGAAAGCACUGCCUUUGCCAGAAGCCGAGGCGAGAAGGCUCCCAAAGCAGACACCGACCCCCGAGUAGCACUGGUCUCCACGGGCCACCCCGGGAGCUGUAGGGCGAGGCCCACCCGCGCGCCGUACUGCGCAUGCGUCAGUCGGCUGAGCAGGAGGCCGCCCGCGCAGCCUCGCUCCCGUCCGGUCGCCGUGGCAACGGGCUCGCGGGGGGAGGGGCCGCGCCGCGGCGGCUGCUAUUUCUGCUGCUUCCUGUUCCUUGCGGCCACGUCGCCAUGGCAACGGAGUUACUCAGCUCGGCCGCCUCUCGGCUCGGCUGGUGCGCGUGACCCCGGCCGCUCGCGCCCCCUCGUCCCCCU
ensembl:lincRNA Gm14486 predicted gene 14486